rnacentral:rRNA from 1 species
CGGUAGCUAAUACCGCAUAACGUCGCAAGACCAAAGAGGGGGACCUUCGGGCCUCUUGCCAUCGGAUGUGCCCAGAUGGGAUUAGCUAGUAGGUGGGGUAACGGCUCACCUAGGCGACGAUCCCUAGCUGGUCUGAGAGGAUGACCAGCCACACUGGAACUGAGACACGGUCCAGACUCCUACGGGAGGCAGCAGUGGGGAAUAUUGCACAAUGGGCGCAAGCCUGAUGCAGCCAUGCCGCGUGUAUGAAGAAGGCCUUCGGGUUGUAAAGUACUUUCAGCGGGGAGGAAGGGAGUAAAGUUAAUACCUUUGUUCAUUGACGUUACCCGCAGAAGAAGCACCGGCUAACUCCGUGCCAGCAGCCGCGGUAAUACGGAGGGUGCAAGCGUUAAUCGGAAUUACUGGGCGUAAAGCGCACGCAGGCGGUUUUGUUAAGUCAGAUGUGAAAAUCCCCCGGGCUCAACCUGGGGAACUGCAUCUGAUACUGGCAAGCUUGAGUCUCGUAGAGGGGGGGUAGAAUUCCAGGGUGUAGCGGGUGAAAAUGCGUAGAGAUCUGGGAGGAAAUACCGGGGGGCGAAGGCGG